rnacentral:misc_RNA from 1 species
GUUGCGUCACGGGUCGAUUUAAUCAUGACUUAUGAGUGACAAUAUACUCGAUGUUGAAGGCAUUGUAACCCAACAAGUGGGGAGUUCGAUUUGGUUGGGACAAAUCGAAUGAUCUGCGGUAGCAUCAACAAGGACGUGGUGUGGGAUCACAGCACGGGUCAAUUUAAUCNCGACUUUGUGCAAGUUGUUCCAUGCCGUGAUGUUGUUGUUACUUUGUGAUGUUGAUGAGAUGUGGGAAAUGUAGUGGUGAUGUCAAGUUGUUUGGGGAUCUUAGAUUAACUUUGAUCUUAGUUUUAUUCUUAACUAGCAUCUUCAUGAGGUCUGCACUAUCAGUCUGAUUGUAUGGCAUGCUGUUGUGUGAUUGUUGCCUUACGAUCAGAUUGUUGGUGUAACCGAUGACAUGAUUUGGCAGGUUAAUCUUAAAGCUGUGGAUGACAACUUGAUGUUGUUUCGUUUGUUGAUGAAUGAACGUCGUAGAAUGAUGAUCUGCGUUGUUGUUGAUGACAUUCGUCUCGAGGUGAUGUGGUGUCAUGUUGCCUGUGUAUCCUGGUUUUGAGUUAUUGAGCUUAAAACAUGUGGAUUAUCGGUUAGUGAUACGGCAUCGCUCCCUUGGUUGAUGAAAGUCAUCCAAUGAUGCGGUUUAUUUGUUCGUUUUCUUCUCGCAUCGCUCGGUGCAUUCUGGGGUCAUUUUGGCUAUUUGCAGCUUGCUUAGCAAUUGAGCUUGGUGGGUUGCUACUAGUUGGGUGUCUUCGGGGAUGUCUAUCGGAAAGGUGCAUGAGUGGUGUUUGGUUUGUUACGGGUGGUUGGCUCUUUGCUUGCGCAACAACUUCUACCCGGCAUACCUCUUCAGUCUUGUGUCAAUGCUUGUAUUGCAUUGAAUCCACGACAGGUUUCUUGUUUUGCAUGCCUAACUAAUGGUAACGCUUGAUGAAUUGGAUUUCCUUUCGUCUUGCGUCGCCUAUGCGAUGUGAGAUGAACCUUGAGGUAGCCUCUGUGAUCCACUCUUUUGAUGCAUACGCGUUGAUUUUGUGGCCCAUUGAGUGUUGCUUGGUCUCAUGGAUAUGGAACCUGGAGUGGGCAUGGAAUCUUAAUGGUUCCUUGAUUGCCCAAGUUUAGCUUUUCUAAAACGAUUGUCU